GAUGAACGCUGGCGGCGUGCCUAAUACAUGCAAGUCGAGCGAACAGAUGAGGAGCUUGCUCCCCUGACGUUAGCGGCGGACGGGUGAGUAACACGUGGAUAACCUACCUAUAAGACUGGGAUAACUUCGGGAAACCGGAGCUAAUACCGGAUAAUAUAUUGAACCGCAUGGUUCAAUAGUGAAAUACGGUUUUGCUGUCACUUAUAGAUGGAUCCGCGCCGCAUUAGCUAGUUGGUAAGGUAACGGCUUAGCAAGGCAAGGAUGCGUAGCCGACCUGAGAGGCUGAUCGGCCACACUGGAACUGGGCCACGGUCCAGACUCCUACGGGAGGCAGCAGUAGGGAACCUUCCGCAAUGGGCGAAAGCUUGACGGAGCAACGCCGCGUGAGUGAUGAAGGUCUUCGGAUCGUAAAGAUCUGUUAUUAGGGAAGAACAAAUGUGUAAGUAACUAUGCACGUCUUGACGGUACCUAAUCAGAAAGCCACGGCUAACUACGUG
rnacentral:rRNA from 1 species